rnacentral:lncRNA from 1 species
GGCAAAGAAGAAAAAUAUCAGGGUAUUUACCAUGCCUUACAAGUCAGUGAUUUGAUUAACCCUCGUGACUAAUACUUGGAAGAUGGACAUGAUAAAUUCACUAAUUGAUAUAGAAAACUUGGGAUGCACCAUUGAGCCAAAACAUGUUCUCAAUGGACCGAAUGUUAACCGCUAAUGGCCUUUGCAUGUAAUAGGGCUGGGUAUAAAAUCCUAAACCUGUGGUCCGAACCAAA